AGUGAGUCAGCCACAAGCUGCUGGAUGGAAGCAAAGAAUCACCAAGACCAAAAGGCAAGUCCAGCUGCCACUGAACAGCAUGUUUACAGUGGAGAAAUUAACCACUCAGUCCAGCUCCUAAAUUCUGCUUCCUCCAGAUGAUGCGCAGGACGGAGGGACGAAGGAUGAUGAAGACCCAGGGGUUGAUGAUGGAGUGGGUUGACAGUAAGCGCAGAGCACCCAGGUCAGCGGAGUGUUGCUCCUCGCGACGGCCCGUCAUGUUUAAGUAAACUUGGAUCUGUAAAGCCAGAAAGUGGCUCAGGAGGUAGAGCUGUCACUCACCAAGUAAAGAAGUGCUGUACAAGUUCAGACCACAACCAUCAGCCUUCAUUCAGCAGUAACAGAAUGAGUUGUGUACCUGGGUUCUGUCUGUGCUCACAUUGGUUAUUCUGUCGGUGACUGAUGUGAUUGUCUAAGUUCAUCUCAGACGGACCUUCAUCUUUGUUUUUUUUUGUGUUCCCUGGGAUGAACAAGCUGCAGAAUUGAAUUAUUGAACUAUCACCACUGAAAGGUCAAAAUUGACGUGGCCUCUGCUUCUGGUUUUGAUGUGGGUGUGAGAUCUCUUAACAAAAAAGUAAAAAGUCCUAUCUCUGUGCUGCAUGUACUAAAAGGAAAUAGGUCAAUGUUGCAAGUUAUUACUGCUUUAAAUUGGGCAACUCUCAAAUUAAUAUACACAUUUCUACAAGUGUAACUGUUAACACUGUAUUAUGACGUUUAGCCUCAGUUUAUAAACGCC